UCCUUAGUAGCUCAGUGGUAGAGCAAUCGGCUGUUAACCGAUUUGUCGUAGGUUCAAACCCUACCUGGGGAG
rnacentral:tRNA from 1 species